rnacentral:rRNA from 1 species
ACUCCUACGGGAGGCAGCAGUGGGGAAUUUUGGACAAUGGGCGAAAGCCUGAUCCAGCAAUGCCGCGUGUGUGAAGAAGGCCUUCGGGUUGUAAAGCACUUUUGUCCGGAAAGAAAUGGCUCUGGUUAAUACCUGGGGUCGAUGACGGUACCGGAAGAAUAAGGACCGGCUAACUACGUGCCAGCAGCCGCGGUAAUACGUAGGGUCCAAGCGUUAAUCGGAAUUACUGGGCGUAAAGCGUGCGCAGGCGGUUGUGCAAGACCGAUGUGAAAUCCCCGAGCUUAACUUGGGAAUUGCAUUGGUGACUGCACGGCUAGAGUGUGUCAGAGGGGGGUAGAAUUCCACGUGUAGCAGUGAAAUGCGUAGAGAUGUGGAGGAAUACCGAUGGCGAAGGCAGCCCCUGGGAUAACACUGACGCUCAUGCACGAAAGCGUGGGGAGCAAACAGGAUUAGAUACCCUGGUAGGCGUAGU